rnacentral:misc_RNA from 1 species
AACUUUCAGCAACGGAUCUCUUGGCUCUCGCAUCGAUGAAGAACGCUGCGAAAUGCGAUACGUAAUGUGAAUUGCAGAAUUCAGUGAAUCAUCGAAUCUUUGAACGCACCUUGCGCCCCUUGGAAUUCCGAGGGGCACACCCGUUUGAGUGUCGUGAACAUCCUUCAACCUUUCUUGGUUUCUUAACCGGGGAAGGCUUGGACUUUGGGGGUCUUUCAUUGCUGGCCUCUUUGAAGCCAGCUCCUCCUAAAUGGAUUAGUGUGGUCUGCUUUGCCGAUCCUUGACGUGAUAAGAUGUUUCUACGUCUUGGGUUUCGCACUGUCGCUUUAGACCCCGCUUCUAACCGUCUUGCAUUCAAGACAGAGUUUUAAACCUUGACCUCAAAUCGGGUGAGACUACCCGCUGAACUUAAGCAUAUCAAUAAGCGGAGGCU